GGGCUCAGUCCCAGGAACCUGGAAUCACGACCUGAGCUGAAGUGUAUACCGUUGAUUGACUUGAGGGUUAUUGAACCACCCCUGCAAUCCAGGAAUAAAACCCACUUGGUUGUGGUGCGGUUAUCACCCUGAUGGAUGUGGUACAGCUUAUGGAAGCUUUAUCCAUUGAUUGCUGCUGAACUGAGAAGGAUUCAAUGAAGAUACAAGCUACUUGUAUUCCUAGGGGUGUAUUAAAAAUUGUGUCACAUUUUCCUGAAGCUGUUUCAGGACUUUACAAUACACACCCUAACAAGGACCACAGGGGAUGAGGCAAACUUGCUGUUGAGAUGGCUAAUGAAAACAUGGAAUGAUGGCCACUUCUCAAUAAAGUAGAAAUGCUCAAGUUGUCCUGGCAGGUGUUCAGGUAGGAAGAAAGACUGAGGGAAGUGAGUGUGCUGGAUUUAAUGAAUUAUGUAAAGCAUCAAAUGGGCUAUUUUUUGUUUGUUUGUU